GACGAACGCUGGCGGCGUGCUUAACACAUGCAAGUCGAACGGUGAAGCGCCUUCCUUUUUGGUGGGUGUGGAUGAGUGGCGAACGGGUGAGUAACACGUGAGUAACCUGCCCCCUUCUUCUGGAUAACCGCAUGAAAGUGUGGCUAAUACGGGAUAUUCUGGGUCUGUCGCAUGAUGGGUCUGGGAAAGAUAUUGUUUCGGUGGGGGAUGGGCUCGCGGCCUAUCAGCUUGUUGGUGGGGUGAUGGCCUACCAAGGCGGUGACGGGUAGCCGGCCUGAGAGGGUGGACGGUCACACUGGGACGGAGACACGGCCCCGACUCCUACGGGAGGCAGCAGUGGGGAAUAUUGCACAAUGGGCGCAAGCCUGAUGCAGCGACGCCGCGUGAGGGAUGGAGGCCUUCGGGUUGUGAACCUCUUUCGCCAGUGAAGCAGGCCUGCCUCGUUUGUGGGUGGGUUGACGGUAGCUGGAUAAGAAGCGCCGGCUAACUACGUG
rnacentral:rRNA from 1 species